rnacentral:rRNA from 1 species
CCAAGGCGACGAUUGGUAGCCGGACUGAGAGGUUGAACGGCCACAUUGGGACUGAGACACGGCCCAGACUCCUACGGGAGGCAGCAGUUAGGAAUAUUCGUCAAUGGAGGAAACUCUGAACGAGCAAUGCCGCGUGAAGGAUGACGGUCCUAUGGAUUGUAAACUUCUGUUCUUAGUGAAGAUAGUGACGGUAGCUAAGGAGCAAGCCACGGCUAACUAC